UACAGAGGUCUCAAGCGUUGUUCGGAUUCAUUGGGCGUAAAGGGCGCGUAGGCGGCGAGGUAAGUCGGGUGUGAAAUCUCAGAGCUCAACUCUGAAACUGCACUCGAUACUGCUCUGCUUGAGGACUGGAGAGGAGACUGGAAUUCACGGUGUAGCAGUGAAAUGCGUAGAUAUCGUGAGGAAGACCAGUGGCGAAGGCGGGUCUCUGGACAGU
rnacentral:rRNA from 1 species